ensembl:lncRNA
CUAGUUUUCAAGUUAUACUAAGACUAUAGACAUAUCCUCAAAGAAGGGAAAUGCCCUGAUACUUCACUUGUGUUGGUGUAGAUGGUGUAUGGGCAUCUCUGCCGUGUGCUCCUGCACUGAACAGGAGUGUCAGUAGCAUUUUGUCCAAAAAUCUCCACUGAGGAGAGGUACGUGACAGGGAAACAGUGCAGCUUUGAGAUUUAAGUUGGCUUAUAUAUUUUUUAAGUGAAGGGUAGUUCUGAAACAGUCAUGGGUCACUGCUCCAGUUAACACUGCAUGGUUUCAAAUUUUAUUUUAUAGUAGAUCUUUAAGUAACAUGAAAUAUGACGUGAUAAUAGAGUAGAGUUAGUGGCCCAUCUUUUUUUUGUGUGUCUUUUUUUUUUAUUGACCAUCUGAUGUUACAAUCAAGGUCAUCUUCCCUAACCUGCUCACCACCUGAGGAAUUUCAAAUGCUGGCUGCUCCUAAUUACCUCCUUGGACAAAGAAAAGAAAAUUGCAGUAUUGCAGUGCACUUGGGACUUGCAGUUGAUGGUGGAAAGUUUUAACCCUGUAGACGUCUUGAGCUUUUGAAGUAGCUGCAUGAGGAUUCACCGCAUCUUCCAUGUUUUCUGUGUCUGACCUGUCAGCAAUAGUUCACAUGAAUAAAAGGUGAACUGUUUGAUCUGUGUCUCUGAGCUGCGCUAUUCAAUCCUGUUUUGUUUUGUUUUUUUAGUUGCGAUACUGAGAGCUUACUUUGAUGCCUUUGUUUGCCUGCUUGAGCUCCAUUCAAGGGUUCCCUUGGUCCAUUACCUGCUGCCAUAUUCAUGAUACACCUUACUGUCAUACCCCCCAUGAUCCUAUUGGCACACAGAUUACCCACAUCUGCUCACACUUCCUCCUGGGCCUGACAACAUCAACAUUUGCUUUGGUGAUUUAGCUAAAUGCCAAGUGAGGAACUGUAGCAUUUUAUGUUAGCUGGCAUGUGAAGCAAGACUGUCAAUAAUAUCAGCUCUUAGGAAAAGAUGAAUGUUUGCAAAAUAUGGAUCUAUUUUUUUAUUAUUAACAACCAUCUGAUUGCACUUCAUUUUCCAUCACAUGGAAUAAGUAAAAUUCAUAACAAAAUAAUGAAUUUGAAAUUAAAGUUUGGACAAGUAAAUACAUUUUUUAUUUUGUUGUUUUUUCACAAUUUUUAUCUUGGUAUGCAGUUUCCUCUAGCAGUGACAUCGUUAUCGGUUU